CGCGGGGUGGAGCAGUGGCAGCUCGUCGGGCUCAUAACCCGAAGGUCAGAGGUUCGAGUCCUCUCCCCGCUA
rnacentral:tRNA from 1 species